AUUGAACGCUGGCGGCAGGCUCAACACAUGCAAGUCGAGCGGGGUGAUGGUGCUUGCACUAUCACUUAGCGGCGGACGGGUGAGUAAUGCUUAGGAAUCUGCCUAUUAGUGGGGGACAACAUCUCGAAAGGGAUGCUAAUACCGCAUACGUCCUACGGGAGAAAGCAGGGGAUCACUUGUGACCUUGCGCUAAUAGAUGAGCCUAAGUCGGAUUAGCUAGUUGGUGGGGUAAAGGCCUACCAAGGCGACGAUCUGUAGCGGGUCUGAGAGGAUGAUCCGCCACACUGGGACUGAGACACGGCCCAGACUCCGACGGGAGGCAGCAGUGGGGAAUAUUGGACAAUGGGGGGAACCCUGAUCCAGCCAUGCCGCGUGUGUGAAGAAGGCCUUAUGGUUGUAAAGCACUUUAAGCGAGGAGGAGGCUCUUUUGGUUAAUACCCAAGAUGAGUGGACGUUACUCGCAGAAUAAGCACCGGCUAACUCUGUGCCAGCAGCCGCGGUAA
rnacentral:rRNA from 1 species